rnacentral:rRNA from 1 species
GAUGAACGCUGGCGGCGUGCCUAAUACAUGCAAGUCGAGCGAACGGACUAGAAGCUUGCUUCUCUGAUGUUAGCGGCGGACGGGUGAGUAACACGUGGAUAACCUACCUAUAAGACUGGGAUAACUUCGGGAAACCGUAGCUAAUACCGGAUAAUAUUUUGAACCGCAUGGUUCAAAAGUGAAAGACGGUCUUGCUGUCACUUAUAGAUGGAUCCGCGCUGCAUUAGCUAGUUGGUAAGGUAACGGCUUACCAAGGCAACGAUGCAUAGCCGACCUGAGAGGGUGAUCGGCCACACUGGAACUGAGACACGGUCCAGACUCCUACGGGAGGCAGCAGUAGGAAUCUUCCGCAAUGGGCGAAAGCCUGACGGAGCAACGCCGCGUGAGUGAUGAAGGUCUUCGGAUCGUAAAACUCUGUUAUUAGGGAAGAACAUAUGUGUAAGUAACUGUGCACAUCUUGACGGUACCUAAUCAGAAAGCCACGGCUAACUACGUG